GCCGGGGUAGCUCAGCUGGGAGAGCAACAGACUGAAGCGCAUGCAUUCUGGAGGUCCCGUGUUCAAUCCACGGUCCUGGCA